UCCCUGGUGGUCUAGUGCCUAGGAUGCGGCACUUUUAGUGCCGUGGCCCAGGUUCAAUCCCUGGUCAGGGAA